rnacentral:tRNA from 2 species
GUGGCUGUAGCUCAGCUGGUAGAGCACCGGGUUGUGGUCCCGGGUGUCGAGGGUUCAAGUCCCUUCAGUCACCCCA